UUGGCUUUGGUCUAGUUUUCCUUUGUUUUGGGCUUGGGCCACGCAAAGCAUUUUGAGACCAACCGUUUGAUCACUAUCGGGCGGCCCGUAUUGGGUAGCGCACCGGCGGCGGCCGCCAGGGAGUACUGCCGCGCGCUGCUCGCCCCAUCCCCGACUCCGGCCUCCGCCACCGCCGGCCUCCGCCACCGCACCGCCGGGGAGCACUCCGGCGGCAGCACCACCACCUCCCGCGUACUCCUCUCCUGCCGCAAGAACAACGGCGGCCAGCGCCCGUCACCACGCUAUGCCGUACAGUAAACCGGCUCGAUGUUGGGGGAGCAAGGAAUGAAAGGAAGCAAAAGGAGGCGAUGAAGGGAGGCAGAAGCAGCGGUGAGCGGUUGAGUCCAUUCAUUACCUGCGGCCAUUUCCACCCUUCUCCUCUCUUAUGCUUCGAUUUAUUUGAUUUGGUAUGAUGUUAGCUUAGUUCUACGCGAUUUCCUAGACGGAGGAUAGGGUUGGAUUUCCUGUUGAUUUUUUUUUAAUGUGGUCACAAGCUCAUGAGUAGGAUGAGAUUGGUCAUUUGGCCCUUGGUUUAUUAGAUUAAUCGAUGAUGUCUGAUUAAUUACUACGUGAUUUUAAUGGGCUUUUGACCAAAAAAUGAUCAAAUGGUAGCCAGCUCGAACCAUGAUCUUUGUAACUUCACUGAUAUGUCAAAGUAGUUCACCUGAUCCAACACUCCGGCUUACACUCAACCCAAACUCACCUGGUACAAGCCUUAGCUGUUGUAAACUUACUGAAAUUAUGGCUCACAUGCAAACAAUGCAUUAACCUGGCAAAAUGUAGUUUAAGCUAGUCCAGGUCCCACCUAGUUUGACUGAAACAUGCAUGUUGUGCAUCGUUAUCUUUGAAUUACUCUGUUGUUCUUCAUAUAAACUCGUACUUGCCAAUUAGAUUAGUUCAUUUGGUUUUUGACUGGCAUAGAUUCCUUCAGACCUUCAGUAUGCUUUAUACAAGGCAUAAGUAACGGCCUGCUUUUUUUUUUUGCAUACAUUGCCAAUAAUAUAGAAAAGUUAGAAUUUAGAAGACUUCACCCACCAAUCAUUCCACCAGGAAGGGUAACAAUUGCCAAGGACCACAUAUAUCGAAUUAGCUGCAAAGUAGACACUGUUAGUGAAAUAACAACAACAACAACAAAGCCUUUGUCCCAAGAAAGUUGGGGUAGUUUAGAGAUGAAACCCACAAAAUCCAACUAAAAAGAUGAUGAGAAAAUAAUAAUGAUAAUAAAAGUACUAGUAAUAGUAAAAAAUAAACUAAUAACGGUACAAGGAGACUGUAGUAUAAGUUAUGGUUCUGGCACGUGGAUUGCUAACUUCCAUGCGCUUCUAUCCGUGGAUUGUUAGUGAAAUAACAAUAAAAUAAAAUAAACAUUCAACAAAAUAGCUUGAAAAUAAAUCAACUUGCUUGGGACAAAAGCUUUGUUGUUGUUGUUAUUGUAUUCAACAGAAGCGGACGGAAUUUAAUUGGGUAGCUUGAAAAUAAAUCAGAUAGAAGGUAACCUUAGAGAGUUCAUGGACUAUGGCCUCUUUAUUGCCUAUGUUGUUCCCAAUCACGUCAACAGUUUUCCCGAGUAUGUAAUACGGCAUUGAAGGCCCCAUGCCGUGUAUGAAGGAUCCCAUGGUCCCUGACACCAUGAGCAGCCAAUCUAGUGCAUUUGGCGUAGCAAAGCAGGCCAAAGAAUGGGAACGGAUUGUUUUCAGCCUCUGUUUCUGGCGCCGUCCAUACUGGUGAUGCACUUUUCUUGCCAUCCUCAAUGUUGAGUUCAGAUGGUUACGGGGUGAGCCUUCUCUUGGACGAGUGGCAUUGCUUUUGCUGAGCCUUGUGUUAUUUUGCAGAAGAGUAGCAGGCACUCUGAGCUUUAUAGUACCGGUAUGUUUUUAUAUGCACACUGACAACCAUAUAGCUACAAAUUGCAGGACAACUGUUGGUACUAUCAAGAUUAACAAUUAGUUACACCAGCCUGGAAUAAAACAAAAUUAGUGUACCGAUUGCGCAGUCUUAGCGUCUGCCAUUCUUAUUCAUGACCCAUUUUGCUGACAUGAUGCACCAUGUCAGACCUGCGUACUCAGACUUACAAGUAAAUUAUUUUAUGGGUGUUGUGUGUAACUUGAGUUAUAUAGUAUAAAAAUCACUUUGUCGAGAAACACUAAGCAUGAAUCUUUUGUUGUUGUAACCAAAUCGUAGGGCAUGAGGCAACUUUGUUUUCAUCUACAGACUACAUUAUUUUAGGCCAGCUACAAGUCUAAUCCAUAUUAGGCAUGCCAAAUAUGGUUAAAAAUACUCUAUUAGAAGCAGAUCUUACUCUUCAUAUUCCUAAGCCCUUCCAAAUUCCAAUUAAAUACAGUCUAGCUUCCUCGUAUAUAUACAUGUCUUGGAUGUUUCAGUUCCAUAAAAUAUUUCGAAAUUAGGUCUGCAAGACCAAGGUGUGUAGUAAUAAGCAAGGUAGUUUCUGUUGCAAAUCUACCCCACCCUCUAAGGUGAUAUGCCUGCAUGUUCAUGCACUUGUGAGAUUUGGUCUUUAUGGCCUCAUUCUCUGGAGUGUCGAUAUAGUCUCACGUAGUCAGAUCACCUUAUAUGCGCACUUGUGAGCACCCUGUAUCUUUAGGGAUGCAUAAUUAUAAAAGUCUCACAUCUCAACUUUAUUUUCCAUAGUCCUGCUGUGCCAAAUUUGGUAGUUUUAUUGUGUACAUGAUAUAUUUAAGGUAGCUAAAACUUCUUCAAGGCAAUUUUAUUGUUUUCUAUGGCAUAUUUACCUGAUUAAAAAUAUAUUUACAAGAUUAGAUUCUGCCAAGUCUUCAGCUAGUUUCUGAGGGAGGGAGGGAGCUUAGAUCAAGGUGUCUUCAACCCCUAAAAAAUGCCAAAACUACUUGAUGGAUCGCACAUAGGAACCAGCAUGUCCUGGUUCCCUGUGCUCUCUACUGGUGAUCUAGCUUCCCUGUUGGCUACACUUGUAUUGUGCAAGAAUAAUGAGCUGAGACAUGGUAGUGAAAGUGCUCCAAGUAGAAAACUGUUCUAGAAUGAGAUGGUUGACAAGUACCAAAUGUUAAGCUGGAAGGCAAUAGUACCUGAACUUUAACUCGUGGACUAUGCAUCAUCAAUAUACGAUGAGAUAGCUAUGUGAUUACGAUUUGUUAACUAUCAGAAAAUGCAUUUCAACAAUGCCAAAUCACCUAAAGCUAUUUUUGCUAAGUCUAUUUGUCCACCGUGGGAAUUGGUCAGAUAGCGGUCAAUCCUUCAUGUUGCUUUGCAAGUGGAACAACCUUGAGUAAACGCCAUCAUCUGCAGAGAUCAAUGUUUGGUGAUUACCAAGUUCUACCACCUUUCCUUUCUCCAUCACAAUUAUCAUAUCCGCAUUUAUGACUGUGGAUAAUCUAUGUGCAACUGUGAUACUUGUAAUCUUACUGGAUCGCUCAUCUUUGUUCUUCCAUUCCUUGGCCCCUAACGAACUCAUUACCACCCUCUCAGACUCACCAUCAAGUGCGCUGGUUGCCUCAUCAAGAAGCAGAAUGACUGGCCUCUUUAGUAGAGUUCUUGCGAUGGCGAUCCGCUGUUUUUGCCCUCCUGAAAGUUGGCUUCCUUUCUCUCCAACAACUGUGUCAUACCCUUCUGGCAGGCCACUGAUGAACUCGUGAAUGUUUGCCUCCAUUGCAGCCUGGAUGAUUUCAGUCUCUGAAAUGCCUUCACUUCCAUAACUAAUGUUAUCUCUGAUGGAUGUAUUGAACAAGAUUGGUUCUUGUUGAACUAGCCCAAUUCGCUUCCUGAGCCAUCUGAGAUUGUAGUCCCUUAUGUUCUUGUUGUCAAUUAGCACUCUACCUCUGUAAGGAUCAUAGAAUCUCAGCAUUAGAGCCAGAACAGAGGAUUUUCCAGCACCACUUGGGCCAACCAAUGCCACUCUUUGGCCAGGUUCAAUUACUAGAUUGAAGCCAUCCAGAAUUGCCACCUCUGGCCUCGAUGGAUAGUUGAAGCUCACAUCCUGAAACUCAGUUCUCCCCACGAUCAAGGCUUCACUUGGAUUUUCAGGUUUAUCUGGCACAAUUUGUGUCUCUCUAUCAAGCGUGUCAAAUGCAGGAUUCAGUAUUGCAAUGGCUGACAUGACCAUGGGAAUGAGGGUCCAUAACUCUGUGAUAGAAGGUACUGUGAGUGAGAAUAUCUGGUAUGAUCUUAUGCUGUUCUCAAAUGAAGCUUGCUUCCUCUGAACCAGAACUGUGGUGUACCAAAGUGCCACAGCAUGUGCAAUAUUCCAGAGGCACAGUGAGAUCCCUUGGAUCACCCCAUACUUCAUGCUUUCAAUCUUGGUAAUUCUCAUGGGUUCUUGCAGCGACAAUUCUGCUUUCUUAAUUAUUUCAUCUUCGUAAACAAAAGAUGCCACAGUUCGGAUGUUGCUAGCCGCCUCUGAAGCAAGGGAGACAAGUUCCCGGUGAGCGAUAGCAGAGUCGCCAUAGAAUCCUUUGGCUGACUUGGCUUGAAUAAGGCCACCAAUGAAAUGGCAUGGCAUGACUGCCCAUGAUACCAAACCCAUUCUCCAAUUGACAUACAUGCUUACUAUUGUUGCUAUCAGAAUUGAACAGAUGCAUUGUACAAUUACUGCCAUUCUAUCAGAUAUGAUGGUUUUGACUGUUGAGGUGUCACUGACAAUGCGCGAGGUAAGAAAUCCUACACCAUUCUUUGGUUUCUCAAACCAACUAAGCUCAUUUCGGAGAACAGCUGCAUUGCAUUGAAACCAAAAAAAAUUAAACAUAUUGUUAACAAUGAAAGGAAUGUAAUGUUGACCAUCGUGACAUAUUGAAGUGACUGAUGAACAAAGUUUUUAUGUAAAAUACCUGAAAAGAGGGCCUCUCUUAGGUUUUUCGUUGCCUUCUCUCCAACAACACCAUAAAUGUAAUGCUGCAGGAUGUUACUGACCAGUGUGACCAUCCCAGCUGUGAAGAAUAUCAAAGAAUACUUGCUGACUUUUCUUUUUGCAUCUGUAUCAUAAUAUGCCACACCAAUUGUCAUGAUGAAGUAACCAAACAAGGGCUUUGAGAUUCCAGAGAUGGCUGCUGCUGAGGAGCCUAAUAGAAUCUUUAUAAUGUCGUCUUUACGCAGUCCAUACCAAAGUCUAAAGAAAGGGUGUGUUUCCUUUCCAUCAUCUUGCUUUGGUUGUUUCAAGUUCACUCUUUCUUGCUUAUUUUUUGGUUCCUGCUUCUUAGAGGACUGCCUGAUGUAUGCUUCAUCGAUUUGUUCCUCCAUUACAUUGUCAGAAGUUCUGUUUAAUCAAUCAAAAUAAAAUAUUAAGUUAUGAUGAAGCAAUCGCACUUAUAUAUAGUAUCAUUAAACUUCCCUACCAUAGAUUUCAUAUGUAUUCCAUAGAUCUUUUGCAAUUUCUAGUUCUUUCAGCACCUUUUGUUACAGGGAGUCUCAUAUUGAUUUCAAACUGUUCACUUCCAUUUUGGAAAAAUCUUCAGUAAGGGGUCCUAAAGUACCACCCCACGCAACAUUAUACUGAAGAAUUUGAUAACGGAGUAUAAAACAUUGAUCAUGUAAAGCUUUGCACUGGUUGAAUUCAACUUUACCUCGCUGCCUUCUUUCCAGCUUCCUUCUCUAUAUUUUGCAUGCUGCAUACAUUGGAGUAGAAUGUGUUUUUCUCUAGCAACUCUUGAUGUGUCCCAGUUUGCGCUACUCGUCCAUUCUCCACGACUACAAUGGUGUCAGCAUUUACAAUUGUGGACAUCCUGUGGGCUAUCAAGAUAACAGUCCUUCCGUGCAUGGCUCUCUCAAGAGCAUCCUGAACUAGCUUUUCUGAUUCUGAAUCAAGGGCACUUGUUGCUUCAUCGAGAAGGAGGAUCGGUGGAUCCUUCAUCAUUGCCCUUGCAAUUGCUAUUCUUUGUUUCUGGCCUCCGGACAACUGCACACCCCUUUCUCCUACCUGAACCAAUUAAAAAUAUUGUAAGGCACAACAUGAGCCCCUUUAGCUUUAGGGAGGGUGGGCAUGUGGCCCUAUGCACACAGAGUAUUUUCCGAUAAAUCAAAUAUUAUGGACCAUCAGUAUUCAGUGAUCCUCCAAUAGGAAUGAAUUGCAACUAUUUGGACUUUCAAAACGGAUGUUCAUGCUAAAGUGACUUGUGUAUUUAUAUAAUCAUAAUUAUCUUUUAACAGUUAAUUUCCUUUCUGACAUAAGAUUAUUGCCAAAUUGGUAAUCAUGACAUGGAAAGUUUUUCAGUUGUCAUGAUCAAAAUAGUACCCUAUUUCUUUCUUUAAUCUAACUCAGAAGGGUAUUUUGUCUUCUCAUAACCACAACCAUGAUUGUAGACAUGAAUUUUCAAGAUGUUGGACAGGUUUCCAGUCGCAUAUACAAAAAAUGGAUCAAUGCCUCAAUCUUUAAUGCAUUUCUCUAGUGAACACAGUAAGUACCUCUGUUGAGUAUUUGUUGGGAAGUUUGGAUAUGAACGAAUGCACAUUAGCUGUCGUUGCUGCUUCAAUUAUCUCUUCAUCACUUGCAUCCAUUUUACCAAUCCUCAAGUUGUCCUUUAUAGUACCAGAAAAUAGUGAUGGUUCUUGGGAGACUGAAGCUAUAUUUCUUCUCAGGGAUCUGAGGUCAAUUUCCUUGAUAUUGUGACCGUCAAUGAAUAUUUCACCUGCAUUAGUCCUUGUUACUUGAUUGAAACAUUUUAAAACUACUUUAUCUUGCAAUGACUAUUUGUGCUUCGUAGAUGUACAAUUCAUGACAAUCAUCUGACCUCAAUUUUCAUGAAAAUUUGGCAGAAACAAUAAAUAUUAUUGACUUAUCUUAUGCAUAUAGUUGCACUAGGCAGAUGGUACAAAGCUACCUGAGGUUGGAUCAUAGAACCUUUGAAGUAGUGAAAUAACAGUGCUCUUCCCACAGCCACUGCUCCCUACCAGAGCAACGACUUUGCCUGCAGGGAUUGACAACGAUAAUCCUUGGAGAAUCGGCUUAUCCUGGCGUGAGGGAUAGGCAAAAUGCACUCGACGCAAUUUGAUCUCUCCAUGAAUCUUCUCUAGUACUGCUCCAUGUUUUCCGUAACUUAUGGAUGGCUUUCUUUUGAUCACCUUGAAGACCUCUUUUCCUGCAGCUUUUGCUUGAUUAAAGGUCUGAAGGUCCGGUGCAGCAUAGGUAAUUGAUCUGAAUCCAUGUAGGAAGAACCAAUAAGUCUAGAAUGACGCAAAUUAAAAAAAAAUGCCAGUUGAUAGUGUGCUUUAUAUGAGUUGUGAUUUGAUUGUUUUUACAUCGACAAAUUAAAACUGUGACUUAACCAACGAGAGAGAUUGUACGAUUGUUACAUUGCACCAAAGAGGAUGCUCAUGAUGGCAGCUAUCGUGCCACCUCCUGUUGCUGCGUUUCUUGUUACUGCAACCGCCCCGAUCCAAACCAUCAGUGCCCAUGAACAAAAGGUCACUGCUUGGAGCAAGCCAAGCCCUAUUCCCUUUAUCAUUGCUUCCUUCUUGCUUAGUUUGAAUUGAUUUUCCAUGCACUGGACAAAGGACUUCAUGGCCCAGCUCUCCCCGACGAAGGAGAAGACAGUCUUGAUAUGCGACAAAGUCUGUGAACAAAUGUAUACUAGGACUAUGAACAUAAUGCAGUGGGAGAUUAUCUGUACUCCAACAUUUAUGUUUAUUCAAGUAACUUGGCCUGAGUUAUGAGUGCUAACUGAUCUCACAAUACCUGUUCUACAACAGAUGUUGCUUCUGAGACAAUAGCAUUGCGUGACAGUGAUACACCAUUCAUCUUUUUCAUGUAUGUUACUCCAAUGACGAGGAUCAGAGGAAUGAUCAGGAAGGAAAGCAUUGCGACUUCCCAGCAGCUGAUAAAUGCAAUUAUGAUUCCGGCAAAGAAAGUGGAGAAGCUUGCAACGAAAUGACCCAGCUGCAGAAAAGUGUGCUUAUAUGAAAGUUUGACCACAGAAUGUCAGAAGUUUGCUCCAUAUGAUUGUGGAAUCCAUUAGACUAUUACCUUUUCACCAAUUGCAUCUUGUAUGACACUCAUGUGGCUGGUUACUCCGGUGAUGAUGGUUGCAGUUGUCAAGUCAGUGUCGAAGGCCCCAACCUCUUGAUUAAGGACUGAUCUCAGAAAUGCUAUCCGCAUGCGUGCUAACUGUCUCUCACUUGAGUAUAUCCAGCAGGAUAUCUCUGCAGCGAAUUCAUCAGAGGAAAGGCUGCUGUUUGCAACGCGGAGGCGCACUGACAGCUGGUUGGUUACUCAGGUGGUUGUUUCUGACAAUGUUUGAAUUGGACAAUGCGAAACCAGUUUCUGAAAGAACCAAUUUGGUUUAUUCCCCGAAUUCUGUACAAAUGUCUCCCAGGCUGCAGCUUCACAAGCCUCAGAAUUCGGAAGGUCAAUUGGAAGCUAGAAAGGAAACACUUUUUCGCUGGAGAUCUGGAUUGCUUCUGUUGGAUUCAUCUGCUAACCUGAUCAACUCUGGAAGAUGCUUCACACGUAGCAGCAGCAUAUGCUAGGUUUUUGUUUCUUCUCAGGGAUCAAGUGUUACCAUCGCAUAAUCCGUGUUAUCGCGUCAACAUCGUUCAUGGGAUAAGGGGAGAAUAUCCGGAUGCCAUGAAGACCACCAGGAAUGACUCGUUCAAAUGUCCUGUUAAAAAUUCAAAUCCCUCUAUCUCAUGUGUUUGUCCUCCAAUCAUCAGCCUUAUAUUAUUUUGCA